CACUGUGACUGUGAAGCAAAGAAGAGAAUCCUGCACAAGACACUUAAGUGCCUUCUGUGGGCAGAUCCUGCACACCCAGACUUCCGUCCCGUGGGGAGGCCCAGCCACCUGUGUACUGCGGAUGAUCUCAGGCAUCUUUCUCUCCGGCUGGUGUUCUGUUUACAAAAGCGAGGUCCUGCUGUUUCGUGCUGGCGUCUCAGAGCAGCAGAGCAGCAGGGCCUCCUCCUGGGGGGAGGGCUGUCCCCACCCCCUCCUGUUCCUGCUGUCACGGUGAAGGGUGGAGCAGCUGCCAAGGCCUGGUCCAUGGAGUGUGCACUCCACACUGCUCGGAGAGACUCAGGGAGGGGCCUCUUCCCCUGCCAGGAACAGGAAGUGAGAGGGCCUGUAGGGGCCAUCGCCAACCUCGCCUAUGCCUGUGUGGUGAGGGGAGGAGCAGUGGGGCCACCCGCAAGGCAGGAAGGGCCCCUAGAGGGUUUCCAUUCCCUGAUAGAUAACUCCACUCUCUGUAUGGGCAGGGCCCAGGGCAAUGGGAUGGAUGGAGGCUUGUAUGCCUUCCGUCUGAAUUUAACCACUACAAAUCAACUUCAGUAGGAACUGCUGAACAAAGUGACACAUACUCUGACCUUAACAAGUAUUCUUUCACAAAGGCUUGGGGGGCAGGUGUGAAUUCCUGGACUCCUCAGGCAUUCAACCCGAACAGGACAGCACAAAAGGUCAGUUUCUUUCUUUCUUUUUUUAAAAUGUAUUUUAUUUAUUGGAAAGGCAGAGUUACGGAGAGAAAGGGAGACACACACGCACACACACACAGAGAUGCACAGAUUUUCCGUCUGCUGGUUCACGCCCCAGGUGGUGGCAAUGGUCAGAGCUGGGCCGAUCCAAAGCCAGGAGCCAGGAACUUCAUCUGGAUCUCCACGUGGGUGCUCUUCCCAUGAGAAUUAGGAGGGUGCUGGAUCAGAAUCGGAGCAGCCGGGACUCACACUGAUGCCUAUGUGGAUGCUGGCGCUGCAGGUGGCAGCUUUACCUGCUACACCACGGCACCAUCCCCACAAGGUCAGUUUCCAGCCAUAGGCUGCUCCCCCAGACCCCAGACCCAGCCUCGUGCACACAGCCUACCCCCUCUGUCCAACUUUCAGCCACCACAUCACAAGCAGCUACUCCUCCGUCACUCCUCAGGUCUGGGGAGCAAAUCUACUGCAGUUCCAUUGAUUCUGGGAAACACAGACUCCUCUGCUCACAUACUCCUCCCUGAGUACGCGGGGAUACAGACAGACGUCACCCAGAGCAGGGCACUUUGACACAGGAGGCCUUCAUGUCCAGUUCAAGGCCAUUUUUAUAGAAACUGUCAUGUCUUUUGCUUAUUUAUUUUAAAAAUUAUUAACUUUGAAAAUUUUGUUUACUUGUUUCUAUUUAUUUGAGAGAGACAGGGAGAUCUCCCAUCAGUUGGUGAGCUUUGACCUGGACUGGGCCAGGUCAAGGCUAGGAUCUAGGAAUUCAACAUAGGUCUCCCACAUGGGCAGCUGGGAUCCAAUUACUUGAGCCAUCAUUUGGUGUCUCCCAGGGAGCACUGUAGCAGGAAGCUGGAAUCAAGAGA
rnacentral:lncRNA from 1 species